AGCGAAGUGAGCACGACUACGGGCUGACAAUCUACAAAAUCCGGUUAACUUGAGGAGAGAAGGCAGCUUUCGCUCUGCCGUUCAACGUAGGACUCAAUUAAAAUCUCGUUUUAGGUGAUCAAUUUCUUUGCUAUAAUUUCACGAAAAUUCGAUUUACCUACUGGGCCAGCAAUCUUGGUCAAGGGAAAAAAAAGCGGAUCAAAAUGAAGAAGAUAUAACAAGACUACAAACUCACUAUAAUCGUUAUCUCAUUGAAGUGUCUUUGAUACCAUCUGCCAUGGAAACGAGAACUUCGGACGACUCUAAGCCUUGAUAUGCGAACUUCUUGAUUAAUCGAAUAAUCGAGGACCCAGUAGCAUAAAAGCGAUUCAAGAUGUUCGUGAAAAUGAUCGAUCAUCGAGCAUAAUUAGAAUCUAGGAACGGAAAAGUAUAGAACACCAUCAUAUAGGUGUAAUUAUUCUUUGCAAGAAUUACAAGUCCAGAUACAUUGUUACUCGACUCAUAGUUUAAUUUGAGCGAUGCCUGGGUUUUUGAUAUAUUUACUUUUAACCAAGAUUAAAGACUAUUGAAAUAUAAAGUUUACGACGUCAAUGUACUGCCGUAGUAUUAAAAUAUGAAAAA